GACGAACGCUGGCGGCGUGCUUAACACAUGCAAGUCGAACGGAGUGGCGAACGGGUGAGUAACACGUGGGUGACCUGCACUGCACUUAGGGAUAAGCCUGGGAAACUGGGUCUAAUACCGGAUAGUGUGGGAUGGGCCCGCGGGCUAUCAGCGUGUUGGUGGGGUAAUUGCCUACCAAGGCGGCGACAGGUAGCCGGCCUGAGAGGGUGGACGGCCACAUUGGGACUGUGCCACGCCCCAGAGUCCUUCGGGAUGCAGCAUUAGGGAAUAUUGCACAAUGAGCGCAAGCCUUAUGCCGCCAUGCCGCGUGUAUGAAGAAGGCCUUAGGUUUGUAAAGUACUUUCAGCGGGAAGGAGGUUAAUACCCUUGUCAAAUGACGUACCCGCAGAAGAAGCACCGGUACUCGUGCCAGCAGCCGCGGUAAUUC
rnacentral:rRNA from 1 species